rnacentral:rRNA from 1 species
UUCCUUCGGGGAGCAAGUAGAGUGGCGCACGGGUGUAGUAACACGUAGGUAAUCUACCUUUGGAUUGGGAAUAACCACCGGAAACGGUGGCUAAUACCGAAUAAUGCAGCGGCACCUAAUGGUGACAGUUGUUAAAGCGGGGGAUCGCAAGACCUCGCGUCUGAAGAGGAGCCUGCGGCAGAUUAGCUAGUUGGUAAGGUAACGGCUUACCAAGGCGAUGAUCUGUAGCCGGCCUGAGAGGGCGGUCGGCCACACUGACACUGACAUACGGGUCAGACUCCUACGGGAGGCAGCAGUCGGGAAUUUUGGGCAAUGGGCGAAAGCCUGACCCAGCAACGCCGCGUGAAGGAUGAAAUCCUUCGGGAUGUAAACUUCGCAAGAACGGGAAGAAUAAGUAAGGGUUAAUAUCUCUUACGAUGACGGUACUGUUUGUAAGCUCCGGCUAACUCCGUGCCAGCAGCCGCGGUAAUACGGGGGGAGCAAGCGUUGUUCGGAUUUACUGGGCGUAAAGGGCGCGUAGGCGGCCACCGCAAGUCGACUGUGAAAUCUCCGGGCUUAACCCGGAAAGGUCAGCCGAUACUGCGGGGCUAGAGUGCAGAAGGGGCAACUGGAAUUCUCGGUGUAGCGGUGAAAUGCGUAGAUAUCGAGAGGAACACCUGCGGCGAAGGCGGGUUGCUGGGCUGACACUGACGCUGAGGCGCGAAAGCUAGGGGAGCGAACGGGAUUAGAUACCCCGGUAGUCCUAGCCUUAAACGAUGAAUGCUUGGUGUCUGGGGUUUUAUAGUCCCCGGGUGCCGUCGCUAACGCUUUAAGCAUUCCGCCUGGGGAGUACGGUCGCAAGACUGAACUCAA